rnacentral:rRNA from 1 species
UAGGGAAUCUUCGGCAAUGGACGGAAGUUCUUGGACCGAGCAACCCCGCGUGAGUGAAGAAGGUUUUCGGAUCGUAAAGCUCUGUUGUAAGAGAAGAACGAGUGUGAGAGUGGAAAGUUCACACUGUGACGGUAUCUUACCAGAAAGGGACGGCUAACUACGUGCCAGCAGCCGCGGUAAUACGUAGGUCCCGAGCGUUGUCCGGAUUUAUUGGGCGUAAAGCGAGCGCAGGCGGUUAGAUAAGUCUGAAGUUAAAGGCUGUGGCUUAACCAUAGUACGCUUUGGAAACUGUUUAACUUGAGUGCAAGAGGGGAGAGUGGAAUUCCAUGUGUAGCGGUGAAAUGCGUAGAUAUAUGGAGGAACACCGGUGGCGAAAGCGGCUCUCUGGCUUGUAACUGACGCUGAGGCUCGAAAGCGUGGGGAGCAAACAGGAUUAGAUACCCUGGUAGUCCACGCCGUAAACGAUGAGUGCUAGGUGUUAGACCCUUUCCGGGGUUUAGUGCCACAGCUAACGCAUUAAGCACUCCGCCUGGGGAGUACGACCGNNGNUUG